UACGUAGGGGGCAAGCGUUGUCCGGAUUUAUUGGGCGUAAAGAGCGUGUAGGCGGCCAGGUAGGUCCGUUGUGAAAACUCGAGGCUCAACCUCGAGACGCCGAUGGAAACCAUCUGGCUAGAGUCCGGAAGAGGAGAGUGGAAUUCCCGGUGAUAGCGGUGAAAUGCGCAGAUAUCGGGAAGAACACCCGUGGCUAAGGCGGCUCUCUAGUACGGUACUGACGCUGAGACGCGAAAAGCGUGGGGAGCGAACAGG
rnacentral:rRNA from 1 species